GGCCCACCUACACAAAUCUUAUAUCAAAACGUUCAGCUAUCCCUGCUGCCACUAAACAUGUCAACGGCUAAGCCAUAGUCCUGAUAGUUUUCACAAUCUAAUCAUUUGUUUGCAACUAACGCUGUCCAUUGACUUUCAUUGAAACUCCCCUCUACAAAGCUCAAAUUUGAAGUGCAAUUUCUAAACUGCGACUGUGCCUUCAUUUUUAAUACUUCAGAGACAUACUAUGCAUCGAAAUGUAGG